rnacentral:RNase_P_RNA from 1 species
GCAGUUGGCCGGGCGGCCGCGUGGCAGCACGAGGAACGUCCGGGCUCCACAGGGAAACGGUGGUGGGUAACGCCCACUCGGAGUGAUCCGCAGGCCAGUGCCACAGAAAGCAAACCGCCGGCACAUGCCGGUAAGGGUGAAAGGGUGAGGUAAGAGCUCACCGCGGGCCAGGUGACUGGGCCGGCACGGUAAACCCCACCGGGAGCAAAACCGAGCAGCGCGCCAAGAGAUCCCGCUCGCGCGCGGGUUGGUUGCUUGAGCCCACCGGUAACGAUGGGCCUAGAUGGAUGGUCGCCACCGCGUUUGCGGCACAGAACCCGGCGUAUAGGCCAACUGCACCG